rnacentral:lncRNA from 1 species
GGGGGGGGAAGACAUUUUUAACAGCGCUAUCAACAAAAGUAUUUGAGAAAAGUAACUCUUCUGCAACUGUUUUCCUCAGGAAUCUGUUUUUUAAUUAUUGGGAGAAGGAUGUAAAGAAAUCAUUCAAUACAUUUCUAAAUCCUACUAUAGUGAGGUUUUGUUACUGAAACCUUGAUAUUUUCAGAAUUAGACAUUACUAUCUUUUAUAGCCUGUGUUUGCAAUUCUGACCUGCAGCCUUAAGCCAAAUAAUAACAUUUACACCAUUCCUUCUACAAAUUCAACUUUAAUUGGUUUUGAUGCAAGUGAAAUAAUCAUGACUCUGUGUAAAUGACUGAGACCCCUUUAGAGCUCAAGGCUCAAAAAGAAAACUGUCCCUUCAUCACAAGGUAGUUACAGCUCCCUCUUCUGGUAGCAAAUGGAAAACAGCUAACCGUGUAUACUCACGUGCUCAUCAACACCUAGAGUGAAACACCGGGAAAGCAUUAAUACAUGUGUGUGAACCUUUUAAUUGUGCUCACACAUUAUCAACAUCAUGUACUAUGUUAAAUGGAUGAGACUACUGCUUAUCACAAAAUCUUACAAUUUAGGAAUGUAAUAGAAAUUUUACUCUAAGAGCACGUUCAAAGGAUAAAGUUAGAAAAUGAGAAGGAAGAAGGAACCCAAAGUAUUUUUAACUCAUUAAUUUACCUAUGAAUACAAAGAAUUUGUUCAUUUGUGUUUAGUCUUUGUUACUGUGCUCAAAAAAUAAUUAAAUUUAUCUUAAAAUUGUGCAAUUGGAGAUUUGAGCAUUUAUA